rnacentral:rRNA from 1 species
ACCGAGUUUACAACUCCCAAACCCCCGUGAACACAACCCCGACGUUGCUUCGGCGGGCGGCGCCCAGGCGCCCAGCGGCCCUCUCCCCGAGAGGCGCCCGCCGAGGGACCCCCCAAUACUCUCUGUUUGUCAUUGGAUCCCUCCGGGUCGAGCGAGCAAGAAAACGAAUCAAAACUUUCAACAACGGAUCUCUUGGUUCUGGCAUCGAUGAAGAACGCAGCGAAAUGCGAUAAGUAAUGUGAAUUGCAGAAUUCAGUGAACCAUCGAAUCUUUGAACGCACAUUGCGCCCGCCAGCACUCUGGCGGGCAUGCCUGCCCGAGCGUCAUUUCGACCCUCAGGCCGGGCCGCCCGCGCGGCGGCGCCGGCCUGGCGUUGGGGACCGGCCCUGGCCGUCCCCCAAAUGCAGUGGCGACCACGCCGCGGCCUCCCCUGCGCAGUAGAAGGCACACCUCGCACCGGAGCGCGGACCGCGGUCACGCCGUAAAGAAAACCCCCCUCCUUCUGGAGUUGACCUCGGGUCAGGUAGGGAUACCCGCUGAACUUAAGCAUA